AUACGUAGGGGGCGAGCGUUGUCCGGAAUGAUUGGGCGUAAAGGGCGCGUAGGCGGCGCGGUAAGUCUGGAGUGAAAGUCCUGCUUUCAAGGUGGGAAUUGCUUUGGAUACUGCCGCGCUUGAGUGCAGGAGAGGUUAUCGGAAUUCCCGGUGUAGCGGUGAACUGCGUAGAGAUCGGGAGGAACACCAGUGGCGAAGGCGGGUAACUGGACUGCAACUGACGCUGAGGCGCGAAAGUGUGGGGAGCAAACAGGAUUAGAUACCCUGGUAGUCCACACUGUAAACGAUGAAUGCUAGGUGUAAGAGGUAUCGACCCCUUUUGUGCCGGAGUCAACACAAUAAGCAUUCCGCCUGGGGAGUACGGCCGCAAGGUUGAAACUCAAAUGAAUCGACGGGG
rnacentral:rRNA from 1 species